rfam:Schistosoma margrebowiei strain Zambia genome assembly, scaffold: SMRZ_contig0002887
AUCCCGCUGACGAGUCUCAAACAGGACGAAACGCGCAUCCUGGAU